UCACACCUUGCCAUCCACGUCCUUGCAGAGCAGUUUUUGUCAGGAUGGUCUCCCGCAGAAGGAUUUGCGCUGGAGCUUUGGGAUUCAAAAUGAAGUGAUGGGAUUCCUACGGCACAAAUUAUUAAGGUUUCAUUUGGCUUGCUCUUCAGCUGAAAGGACAGCGUCAGUAAAGAUGGAGAGAUUGAAAUCCAAGCAAUGGGGUGUCUGCUGGAUAGAAGCUUCCUAGGAGAGGGCAGAGGAGGAGUCUGGGAGCUGGUGGGAAGGCUGAGGAAGCGUCCUUCCUCUGCAUCAGGAGGAAGAGCCAAGAGACCUGAGAACUGGAGCUGAGAGGUGACAAGCUGAGGGAGCUCAAGCUGCCAGUGCGCUGCUCUCUGUGCGUAAACGUAGCCAGGCACCUGCUGCCAGAAGGGAGGCAGGCGUGGGUCCGGGAAUCAGAGCAGAAAUGAGACCGUGUCUAACAGUGACAGUGCAGCGCACAGCGUCAAGUUGCUCAGCUGCUAAAUUUGGGUUCCAUGAAUUUGUGAAUACGCCAAUUCAGCUUUUUAAAAAUUUUUUUUGUGAAGAUUUCGAUAAUUCCUCUUAAGUGUAUCAGAUCAGAUUCUGUUAAAAGUUCUGAAGCCUUUUGCUCAGCAUAUAAAAAUAAAUAAUUAUAAAAUUAACUCCACAUCUCCCAUAUGCCCUAAUCCUUAGUGAAAAUAUACGUGCAAACCUGUGACUUAUGUGAUUAAAAAUUCCAUUACUAAUGGGAAAUUAAAUGAACUCAAUAAAAC
rnacentral:lncRNA from 1 species